rnacentral:rRNA from 1 species
GGCUCCUUGUGAUUUAUAAAUAGGGAGUCGGACCUGCCCAGUGAACUUUUUUAACGGCCGCGGUACUCUGACCGUGCAAAGGUAGCAUAAUCAUUUGCCUUAUAAUUAAAGGCUUGUAUGAAUGGUUUGACAAGAGAGUAGCUGUCUCUUUAUAAUUAGGUGGAAUUUUAUUUUUAGGUGAAGAAGCCUAGUUUCUAUUGAAAGACAAGAAGACCCUAUCGAGCUUUAAAGAAAUUAAUGAACCUUAAAUAUCUUAAUAUUAUAUAAAAAAUAAUUUAUUAAAAAUUUUAGUUGGGGCGACUAAGGAACAAAUAAAGCUUCCUUUAACCAAAAAACAACCAGGCAUUGAUCCAAAAAAUUUGAUUAAAGAAUUUAGUUACCGUAGGGAUAACAGCAUUAUUUUUUUUGAGAGUUCUAAUCGAAAAAAAAGUUUGUGACCUCGAUGUUGGACCAGAAUAUCCUGAAGAUGCAGCCGUCUUCAAAGGUUGGUCUGUUCGACCAUUAAAAUUCU